rnacentral:rRNA from 1 species
AUUGAACGCUGGCGGCAGGCCUAACACAUGCAAGUCGAACGAGUGGCGGACGGGUGAGUAAUGUCUGGGAAACUGCCCGAUGGAGGGGGAUAAAUACUGGAAACGGUAUCUAAUACCGCAUACUCUGGGAUAUCCCUAUAUGGGAUUAGCUAGUGGGUGGGGUAAAGGCUCACCUAGGCGACGAUCCCUAGCUGGUCUGAGAGGAUGACCAGCCACACUGGGACUGAGACACGGUCCAGACUCCUACGGGAGGCAGCAGUGGGGAAUAUUGCACAAUGGGCGCAAGCCUGAUGCAGCCAUGCCGCGUGUAUGAAGAAGGCCUUCGGGUUGUAAAGUACUUUCAGUCGGGAGGCGUUACCCGCAGAAGAAGCACCGGCUAACUCCGUGCCAGCAGCCGCGGUAAUAC